GACGUAGGGCGCGAGCGUUGUCCGGAUUUAUUGGGCGUAAAGAGCUCGUAGGCGGUCUGUCACGUCGGACGUGAAAAUCCAGGGCUCGAACCCUGGACCUGCGUUCGAUACGGGCAGACUAGAGUUCGGUAGGGGAGACGUGAAUUCCUGGUGUAGCGGUGAAAUGCGCAGAUAUCAGGAGGAACACCGGUGCGAAGGCGGGUCUCUGGGCCGAAACUGACGCUGAGGAGCGAAAGCGUGGGGAGCGAACAGGA
rnacentral:rRNA from 1 species